rnacentral:rRNA from 1 species
CCUAGUUGAUCCUGCCAGUAGUCAUUUGUUUGUCUCAAAGAUUAAGCCAUACAUGCAUUAGUAUGAACUAAUUUAGACUGUGAAACUAUGAAUGGCUCAUUAAAUCAGUUACAGUUUGUUUGAUGGUAUCUACUACUUGGAUAAGCAUAGUAAUUCUAGAGCUAAUAUGUGCAAGAAACCCUAACUUUUAGAAAGGAUGCAUUUAUUAGAUAAAAGGUCAAUGCGGGCUUUGCCCAUUACUUUGAUGAUUUGUGAUAAGUUGACAGAAUGCACAGCCUUUGUGCCAGUGACAUAUCAUUUAAAUUUCUACCCUAUCAACUUGUGAUGGUAAGAUAAUGGCUUACUAUGGUGGUGAUAGAAGAUGAAGAAUUAGGGUUGAGUUUUGAAGAAAGAGCCUGAGAAAUAGCUACCAUAUCCAAGGAAAGUAGCAGGUGCACAAAUUACUUAAUCCUGACAUGGAGAGGUAGUGAUAAUAAAUAACAAUACUAGGCUCUAUGACUCUGGUAAUUGAAUUGAGUACAAUCUAAAUCCCUUAAUAAGCAUCCAUUUGAGGGUAAGUCUGGUGAUAGCAGCCAUGGUAAUUCCAAUUCCAAUAGCAUAUAUUUAAGUUGUUGAAGUUAAAAAGCUCGUAGUUAGAACUAGGGCUGGUCAUUCGAUCUGCCUCAUGGUGAGCACUGGUCUAUUCAUCCCUACUACUAGCAAUGUGCUCCUACCCUUAAUUGGCUUGGUUGUUCCUUUGACACUAUUACUUUGAAGAAAUUAGAGUGUUCAAAAGUAGGCCUACGCUUGUAUGCAUUAGCAUCAGAUAACAUCAUAUGAUUUUGAUCUUAUGGUGUUGGCCUUCAGGAUUAAAAGUAAUGACUAACAGAGACAAUUGGGGGCAUUUGUAUUUCAUAAUCAAAGGUGAAAUUCUUAGAUUUAUGAAAGAUGAACAACUAUGAAAGCAUUUGCCAAGGAUGUUUUCAUUAAUCCAGAAUGAAAGUUGGAGGCUAAAAUAUGAUUAGAUGUCAUCCUAGUCUCAACAAUAAAUGAUGCCGACUAGGGAUUAGGGGAUGUUACUUUUAGGACUCGCUAGCACCUUAUGAGAAAUUGAAGUCUUUGGGUUUCAUGAAGAGUUCUAGUGCAAGGUUGAAACUUAAAGGAAUUGAUGGAAGGGCACCACCAAGAGUAGAGCUUGUCAGUUAUUUGGCUCAACACGGGGAAACUUACCAAGUCUAGACAUAAUAAGGACUGACAAACUGAGAGCUCUUUCUUGAUUCUAUGGGUGGUGGUGCAUGGUUGUUCUUAGUUGGUAGAUCAAUUUGUCUGGUUAAUUCUAUUAACGAAUGAGACUUCAACCUGCUAACUAGCUAUAUGAAGGUGAUCCUUUAUGGCUAGCUUCUUAGAGAAACUAUAGCCACUUAGGCCAAGGAAGUUUGAGGUAAUAACUAGUUUGUGAUGCCCUUAGCUAGUUUGAGCCACAUAAGCACUACACUGAUGUAUUCAACGAGUCUAUAGCCUUGAUCGAUAGGACCAGGUAAUCUUUGAAAUUUCAUCAUGAUGGGGAUAAAUCAUUGCAAUUAUUGGUCUUCAAGGAGGAAUUCCUAGUAAGUGUGAGUCAUCAACUCAUGUUGACUACAUCCCUACCUUUUGUACACACCGCCUUCCCUUCUACAGAUUGAAUGGUCCAGUGAAGUGUUUGUAUAUGUGGUAACAUGGAUGGUUUGCUACCCAUAACAUCACAACAAGUCUACUAAACCUUAUCAUUUAGAGGAAAGAGAAGUCAUAAUAAGGUUUUUGUAUGUGAACUACGAAAG